rnacentral:rRNA from 1 species
CCCGCACAAGCGGUGGAGCAUGUGGUUUAAUUCGAUGCAACGCGAAGAACCUUACCAUCCCUUGACAUCCUGCGAACUUUCUAGAGAUAGAUUGGUGCCUUCGGGAACGCAGUGACAGGUGCUGCAUGGCUGUCGUCAGCUCGUGUCGUGAGAUGUUGGGUUGAGUCCCGCAACGAGCGCAACCCUUAUCUUUAGUUGCUACCAUUUAGUUGAGAACUCUAAAGAGACUGCCGGUGAUAAACCGGAAGUAGGCGGGGACGACGUCAAGUCAUCAUGGCCCUUAUGGGAUGGGCUACACACGUGCUACAAUGGGGGGUACAAAGAGCAGCUAGGCUGGCGACAGUGCGCGAAUCUCAUAAAACCUCUCGUAGUCCGGAUCGGAGUCUGCAACUCGACUCCGUGAAGUCGGAAUCGCUAGUAAUCGUGAAUCAGAAUGUCACGGUGAAUACGUUCCCGGGCCUUGUACACACCGCCCGUCACACCAUGGGAGUGGGUUGCAAAAGAAGUGGGUAGUCUAACCUUCGGGAGGGCGCUCACCACUUUGUGAUUCAUGACUGGGGUGAAGUCG